UUGCCUUACUCUUCAUGUAUCUACGCCUUGGAAGGUGGAAUGUUAGGUUAGCUUUACUCCAAUAUCUGAUGGUGGCUGUGGUCUUUGGUUUGUAAGUUUUAUGCCUUGGAAGUAUUAUGUUCUUAUCCUGAUGGUGAGGGGGCUUCGUGGUGCAGUGGUUAGCACACUCGGCUCACAACCAAGAGAGCCCAGGUUCGAUUCCAGGGCAGAGUGGAAAAAUUUGGGUGGCUUUUCCGAUACCCUACGCCCCUGUCCACCCAGCAGUGAAUGGGUACCAGGUAUUAAUCGGGGGUUGUGUCCCGUCUCCUGGGAUCUGUUCUCUUGAAAGGAGAGGGAGGAUACAGGUGGAGGAGGAAUAGAGGAGGGAAGGGAGGGAGGAAGGAAGAAACAAGGAGAGAAAGGAGGGAAGAUGGGAAGGAGGAGGAGGAGGGAAGGGAGGAAGAAAAGGGAAGGAAGGAAUCAAGAAGUAAUCAUGCAAAGUAGAACUGGAAUUUAUAAAGAAUGUAAGUAAGUAAUGAUUUCAAGGUUGCAAGAGUCAUUAAGAGGUUUUGUUGGUCAUAUAAGCUCUGAUAUCAUGCUCUUAUAUGGAGACAGAGCAAGGCGAAAACACGAGAGAAAAGAUACCUUCCCGAAUACCCAUAUAUGUUAACCGUCCGUUGUGAUUGGCACAGAUUUGGCCUUCACUGGUAGCCUGGUAACAUGUACUCCCAGGUCUUUCUCUGCCUCUGUGGUGGAUAGUGGAGUGUUUCCCAUGUGGUAUUGGUAUGCUGGAUAUCCCCUCCCAAGGUGCAGGACUUUACAUUUUCCUUCAUUGAACUGUAGCAGCCACUUUUUGCUCCAUUCCUAUAGCUUGGUGGUGUCUUCUUGUAGGAAAUACGUAGUCAAGGGUUCAAACCAACAACCUAUUGUCGAAAUGGCCCCACAAAGCAGGGGAGGACACAGUGCUGGGAGUUUUGGAGAGAUUGGAGGUAGAAGGAAGGAAACCAUUUGGUAGACCUAGGAAAACGUUGAGAAGGUGUAUACAGGAAGACUUGGCAGUGAUGGUUUGGACAUGUAAAGAGAGCAGGGGAGGACACAGUGCUGGGAGUUUUGGAGAGAUUGGAGGUAGAAGGAAGGAGACCAGUUGGCAGACCUAGGAAAACGUGGAGAAGGAGUAUACAGGAAGACUUGGCAGUGAUGGGAUUGGAUGAGCAUCGGGCAGAAGACAGAGUAGAAUGGAGGAGAGCCAUAAAGUGUCCAACCGCUCAGGAGGAGUGAAAACGGACCUCAAAUGAAAUGAUGAUGAUAAUGAUGUAACUGAAUGGGAAAGGUACUACACAGGAGGCUUCUCUUUUGAUGCUGGUUGUGAAUAAUUUGUGAUGUGGUGAGGGAGAGUUACCCCCGUCUUCUCCCAUUCUUUACAUUUUCUUUUGACUUCCAGGUGGAACUAAAUUAGAAUACCUCAGUUCAGCCACGCCACCACAGCUAGUCAUCACCUUCAUGCUCCAUAACGUAUUCACCCAGGGAAAGAAAAAUGGCUGUCUUAUAUUAGCGACUGUUUUGUAUAGCAACCUCUUAUGCUCAGGCCAACAUUCUAAAACAUUUCCUAAAGGCUAACACACCCACAUUUGGCAAGACUUUCAUAGAGGUUGUUGUGUUAGUAUUUCCAUGGGUAGUUUUGUGAGCCUAGUGAUAGUUUGGCAAGGCUUUCAUAGAGGUUGUUGUGUUAGUAUUUCCAUGGGUAGUUUUAUGAGCCUAGUGAUAGUUUGACAAGGCUUUCAUAGAGGUUGUUGUGUUAGUAUUUCCAUGGGUAGUUUUAUGAGCCUAGUGAUAGUUUGACAAGGCUUUCAUAGAGGUUGUUGUGUUAGUAUUUCCAUGGGUAGUUUUAUGAGCCUAGUGAUAGUUUGACAAUAUCACUGAAUGUAGCCUGGAAAAA